rnacentral:lncRNA from 1 species
UGCGAGCUGGUGAGAGUACUUUGAAAGAAUUAGGGCGGUUGUUGAAAUUAGUUUCAGGUACACCUGGAAUCCCUUCUGGGGAUGUAAAAUGGUCCACAUCAUGACCCACCUACAAGAUUGAUUAAUUUUAGCAUUACCAGGAGAGAAAACAAUUCAUAGAUGACUAACAAAGAGAGGCUUUAGAUGCUAUUGCUUCAUUAGUUGCCAGGUAGACAGGCCAGUCCCAGACCCAAGGCAAUAAUCAACAUUUUGUUUUAAAGUCCCACGAAAAUUCAUGAAAUUAGUACUGUGAAUUCCCAAUUGCCAGAAAUCAAGCCAAGAUAAAAACACAACUCUUUCAGCAAUAGCAAAAGGAAAGAAUAACAACAAUAGCAGGAGUUCCUUACUCUUCCAUGCCCACCAAAUUCCCAAGCAUCACUAUCCAGGGCAACUCUAUACUUCCCUGGCAAGUCACACCCCACUUUGUACCUGCAUGUUUCACACAAUAGUUAGUUGAAGAGUUUUAGGGUACAAGUAAUUUAUUUCUAGCAUAUAUAGAUAAGUAGAUCAGUUUCUAGCCGUAAAUGGCUCCUUGUACAAACACAAAUAAAUACAAAUUUUCAUAACUUGAAGCAUACAUACCCAUCAUACGUAUUUUCUGGAUGAAAGUUGAACACGAAAACGAGAUCUCCCCUCUCAAAGACGAUAACCUAAAUCAAGAAACCAUUAAUGCAUCCGCCAAAACUGAAGGGGUUAAAACAUGGCAAUGGAAUGUUAUACGGCAGAGAACGAAACAAGGGUAUGGUGCCAUUAUCUCUAUCCCAUUGGAGGUAAAAUGAAGAAAGAAAAAUUAGACUAGCAUGAUGACAUAGCAAGAAACCUUCCAUUUUAUUACCAUACGUACUUGAAACUCAAAAGGAAACAAUAAUCUUGUUUACUUGCUAUUGCAAUCUUUUAGUUUUUGGAUAGCCAUAAAAGAUUGAUAAAUAAACAAUUUAUUAAUUCUAAAAAUAAAAAUUCAAUCCUAAAACGGUUAACAACUUUUGACUGUCAUAUGUGCAUGUAUUUUGCAUCCUGAAUUAGAUCGACAGCUGCAAUGGUCUUACACUAACCACUCAACUACCAUUGUAGAUUUACCUUGUUUUCUUCAUCAGUGCAGCUCACUAUCUGUUUUGUCGAUGAGAGGAAUGAAAAUUUAUCAUCAAGUGCAUUCAUAGCUCUAUCAAAUGCAUUCAUGAACUGCAAAACCAAAUGCAAAGGGAAAAUUUUAUGUAAAUAUUGCAUAGCUCCUGAAUGGAGAGACAUAAAAAAGAUACAAUAAUGAUUAAUACAAAAGAAAUUUCAGUCUGUAAAUAGAUUAUACAGGUGCCUUCAAAGUUAAAAAAGCAGGUGAGCAUUUCCAAAAUGAUCACCAAAUUGCAAACAAUGGUCCAUGUUCAACUAAAUUCUUGACCUUUCAACUUGGAUUUUGAUGCGGAUCUUAGCAUUAUGUUAUUGAAAUGAAAAGGUAGAAAGAAAUUGAAUCAGUCUGUUGGCACAUAUUUACUAGCUUAUGCCCUAAUGCUAAAAUGUUCAAAUCUUAGCUGGAAAAGGAUAAGGAAAUGGGUCAAGGAUGGAAUACAGAAUAGAAAUUUUAACAAAUUCUUAAUAAAAUGACCAUUGACCUUGUAUCUUAAGUGAUCGGUAUCCACCAGGGUCCACUGCCUUCUGCACUUUUCAUAACUCCACCCAUUGCCUUCUCUUGGAAAGUCAAUCCAUUCAGGAUGUCCAAACUGUACAAACAAGCAGAAGAUAUAUCUAGUCACCUUAUUUGUUAAAAGAGAAAACAAACCCUUACAUCAGAAAAUUGCCCCCUAGGCAGAUAUAGCCUAUCACCCCUUUAUUAUUUUCAUGUCCUUUUGACUUAAAGGGCCUUCACAGAUAUUCAUUGGUUCAUACUGAUAAAAUCAUAGCACUGAAAAAUCUCCUUUUCCUAGACAUGAUAUUUUCUCUAAUAUCCACCUAAAUAAAAUCUUGAUUACUCUCCAGUAUGCACAGUUGAGCCAGAAUGCUUACCUCAUUUCCCAUAAAAUUAAGGUAGCCCUCUCCUCCUAAUGCCAUAGUAAUAAAAUGUAUCAUCUGCAAAGGAAAUUUUAAAUAAAAGAAAAAAAGUUAAGAGUGAGAGAGAAGCAAUGAAAAUAAUGACUGAAUAAAGAAAAUGAUCUAUGCAGACGCAAAAUAUGAAGGCGGAAUAAAAUAAUUGAAGUUCCAUAUUUUCUGGUUUUCAGAACAAGGCAUGCACACAUAGAUUCAUGGUGGCGUUAAUUCCAUCAACAUGGCGAGACAUAAAGGAAACAGGAGAGAAGCCUCUAACAUUUGAGCUAGCACCAACCUUGUGAAGUGCAAUCCCUCGGUCAAUGGUAGGAGAAGCAUCUGUUAAACAUGACAUGCCAGAGUACAUUUCUUUAUCCAUUAGGAAAAAUGCUAUUGUCUUGUCACCUACGAUAGACUGCACCAAACAAGAGUUAUAUCCAAGAAGCACAAAACAUGACAAAAUAUACGAACAUUAAAAGAAAAGGGAACAUUAAGAAGUGCAAAUACAGUAUCAGAUUCAGGCCAGGAGAUCAGCUAUGAUAUUAACCAUUUAAGAUUUAAAUCCUCUCGGGCUUUGCUUAGGGAUAGAGGAGAAAAGGAAGAGGAUAGAAAACAUUUUAUUAAUCAAGCUUUCUUUAUGUCUCAUCUCUUCUGAAAUCAUUCGAAAGUGAGAAAAACAAAUUCCAAAGGAGGAGAAGUUUCCCUAAAGAAAUUAUUUAACUAAAUUUAGAAAUAAAUUGAUCAGAAAAGUAAUUCCUCACUUUCUAUACCUGAUCGUGACUCUCAGCAUAGGAUAUACACUUCUCAGUGUAUCUCCUAUUUGUCAAGCUACAGGAUAAGUCCAUCAUUGACCACUCUUCAUCAUUCUUAUUCUUCAAGUAAUCAAUCCACUUGUCAGGGAUGGCCAUAGCCAGGCGGUAGUCAAACCCAAUUCCCCCUUCAGAGACUGGCCUACCAAGUCCAGGCAUACCAGAAACAUCUUCAGCAAUUACAGUCGCAUCUGGCAAGAUGUUAUUUAUCAGAGAAUUGGCCAGCAUUAAAUAAACAACAGCAUCAACAUCAGUUGCCUCACUGAAAUACUCAUUGUAAUCCCCUGUGAAUGGCAUGUUGAUACCAUGGUGAUGAUACAACAUGGAAGUCACUCCAUCAAACCUAAACCCAUCAAAUUUGAACUCCUCAAGCCACCACCUCAAGUUUGAAAGAAGGAAGCGAAGGACUUCCCAAUUACCAUAAUUGAACAGUCGACUAUCCCAUAACUUGUGGUAACCUCUUUCUCCAGUGUGAAAAUACGAUUCCUGGGAACUUUGGCCAACAUCAAAGCCAUUAAGUCCAUCAGUCACAUUGUUACUUGCAUGACUGUGAACAACAUCCAUUAAGACCCGUAGACCUAAGCUGUGAGCUUUAUCAAUUAAAUAUUUGAGGUCCUCAGGAGUUCCAGAUCUACUGCUUACAGAAAAAAAGUUCGUUACAUGGUAUCCAAAUGACGCAUAGUAGGAAUGCUCCAUUACAGCCAUCAAUUGUACGGUAUUAUAGUUAUUUGCCUGAAUACGGG